rnacentral:rRNA from 1 species
UUGCAUAUCCCAAAAGCGGAGGAAAAGAAACCAACAGGGAUUGCCUUAGUAGCGGCGAGUGAGCGGCAAAGCUCAAAUUUGAAAUCUGGCGUAUUCUGCGUCCGAGUUGUAAUUUGAAGAAGGAUACUUUGGGGUUGGCUCUUGUCUAUGUUUCUUGGAACAGAACGUCACAGAGGGUGAGAAUCCCGUGCGAUGAGAAGCCCAAUUCCGUGUAAAGUGCCUUCGAAGAGUCGAGUUGUUUGGGAAUGCAGCUCUAAGUGGGUGGUAAAUUCCAUCUAAAGCUAAAUAUUGGCGAGAGACCGAUAGCGAACAAGUACAGUGAUGGAAAGAUGAAAAGAACUUUGAAAAGAGAGUGAAAAAGUACGUGAAAUUGUUGAAAGGGAAGGGCUUGAGAUCAGACUUGGUAUUUUGUAUGUCUUGCUUUCGGGUGGGGCCUCUGCAGUUUACUGGGCCAGCAUCGGUUCGGGUGGUAGGACAAUUGCGAAGGAACGUGGCACUGCUUCGGUGGUGUGUUAUAGCCUUUGUGGAUACUGCCUGUCUGGACCGAGGACUGCGUCAUUUGACUAGGAUGCUGGCAUAAUGAUCUUAAGUCGCCCGUCUUGAAACCCACGGGACCA